rnacentral:snoRNA from 1 species
UUGGCCCUGAAUCAAGACCAGCAGUUUGCUGAAGCUAUUGGCUUCAAGCAAGAGCCUAAAGAUAUGUCUUUUGGAGCUGGGGGUGUGGCUCAAGUAGUAUAGCACCCACC